GACGAACGCUGGCGGCGUGCUUAACACAUGCAAGUCGAGCGAUGAAACACCUUCGGGUGUGAAUUAGCGGCGAACGGGUGAGGAACACGUGAAGAAUCUGCCUUCAACUCUGGGAUAACUCCGGGAAACCGGGGCUAAUACCGGAUAUGAGCCUUGAUCGCGUGAUCGGGGCUGGAAAGUUUUUCGGUUGAGGAUGACUUCGCGGCCUAUCAGCUUGUUGGUGAGGUAAUGGCUCACCAAGGCGACGACGGGUAGCCGGCCUGAGAGGGCGACCGGCCACACUGGGACUGAGACACGGCCCAGACUCCUACGGGAGGCAGCAGUGGGGAAUAUUGGGCAAUGGAGGAAACUCUGACCCAGCGACGCCGCGUGAGGGAUGAAGGCCUUCGGGUUGUAAACCUCUUUCAGUAGGGAAGAAGCGAAAGUGACGGUACCUACAGAAGAAGCACCGGCUAACUAUGUGCC
rnacentral:rRNA from 1 species